GAUGAACGCUGGCGGCGUGCCUAAUACAUGCAAGUCGAGCGAACGGACGAGAAGCUUGCUUCUCUGAUGUUAGCGGCGGACGGGUGAGUAACACGUGGAUAACCUACCUAUAAGACUGGGAUAACUUCGGGAAACCGGAGCUAAUACCGGAUAAUAUUUUGAACCGCAUGGUUCAAAAGUGAAAGACGGUCUUGCUGUCACUUAUAGAUGGAUCCGCGCUGCAUUAGCUAGUUGGUAAGGCAACGGCUUACCAAGGCAACGAUGCAUAGCCGACCUGAGAGGGUGAUCGGCCACACUGGAACUGAGACACGGUCCAGACUCCUACGGGAGGCAGCAGUAGGGAAUCUUCCGCAAUGGGCGAAAGCCUGACGGAGCAACGCCGCGUGAGUGAUGAAGGUCUUCGGAUCGUAAAACUCUGUUAUUAGGGAAGAACAUAUGUGUAAGUAACUGUGCACAUCUUGACGGUACCUAAUCAGAAAGCCACGGCUAACUACGUGCCAGCAGCCGCGGUAAUACGUAGGUGGCAAGCGUUAUCCGGAAUUAUUGGGCGUAAAGCGCGCGUAGGCGGUUUUUUAAGUCUGAUGUGAAAGCCCACGGCUCAACCGUGGAGGGUCAUUGGAAACUGGAAAACUUGAGUGCAGAAGAGGAAAGUGGAAUUCCAUGUGUAGCGGUGAAAUGCGCAGAGAUAUGGAGGAACACCAGUGGCGAAGGCGACUUUCUGGUCUGUAACUGACGCUGAUGUGCGAAAGCGUGGGGAUCAAACAGGAUUAGAUACCCUGGUAGUCCACGCCGUAAACGAUGAGUGCUAAGUGUUAGGGGGUUUCCGCCCCUUAGUGCUGCAGCUAACGCAUUAAGCACUCCGCCUGGGGAGUACGACCGCAAGGUUGAAACUCAAAGGAAUUGACGGGGACCCGCACAAGCGGUGGAGCAUGUGGUUUAAUUCGAAGCAACGCGAAGAACCUUACCAAAUCUUGACAUCCUUUGACAACUCUAGAGAUAGAGCCUUCCCCUUCGGGGGACAAAGUGACAGGUGGUGCAUGGUUGUCGUCAGCUCGUGUCGUGAGAUGUUGGGUUAAGUCCCGCAACGAGCGCAACCCUUAAGCUUAGUUGCCAUCAUUAAGUUGGGCACUCUAAGUUGACCGCCGGUGACAAACCGGAGGAAGGUGGGGAUGACGUCAAAUCAUCAUGCCCCUUAUGAUUUGGGCUACACACGUGCUACAAUGGACAAUACAAAGGGCAGCGAAACCGCGAGGUCAAGCAAAUCCCAUAAAGUUGUUCUCAGUUCGGAUUGUAGUCUGCAACUCGACUACAUGAAGCUGGAAUCGCUAGUAAUCGUAGAUCAGCAUGCUACGGUGAAUACGUUCCCGGGUCU
rnacentral:rRNA from 1 species